GGCGCGUUGGCGGAGCGGUUACGCAGAGGUCUGCAAAACCUUGUAGGCGGGUUCGACUCCCGCACGUGCCUCCA
rnacentral:tRNA from 1 species